rnacentral:rRNA from 1 species
CGCCUAACACAUGCAAGUCGAACGAAGUAGCAAUACUUAGUGGCAGACGGGUGAGUAACAUGUAGGUAUCUACCCUUUGGCCUGGAAUAACACGAGGAAACUUGUGCUAAUACCGGAUAAGUCUUUACGGAGAAAGCUUUAUGCACCAUUGGAUGAGCCUGCACUUGAUUAGUUUGUUGGUGGGGUAAUGGCCUACCAAGACUGUGAUCAAUAGCUGAUUUGAGAGGAUGAUCAGCCACAUUGGGACUGAGACACGGCCCAAACUCCUACGGGAGGCAGCAGUGGGGAAUCUUGCACAAUGGAGGAAACUCUGAUGCAGCGAUGCCGCGUGAGUGAAGAAGGCCCUUGGGUUGUAAAGCUCUUUCGUCGGGGAAGAAAAUGACUGUACCCGAAUAAGAAGGUCCGGCUAACUUCGUGCCAGCAGCCGCGGUAAUACGAAGGGACCUAGCGUAGUUCGGAAUUACUGGGCUUAAAGAGUUCGUAGGUGGUUGAAAAAGUUGGUGGUGAAAUCCCAGAGCUUAACUCUGGAACUGCCAUCAAAACUUUUCAGCUAGAGUAUGAUAGAGGAAAGCAGAAUUUCUAGUGUAGAGGUGAAAUUCGUAGAUAUUAGAAAGAAUACCAAUUGCGAAGGCAGCUUUCUGGAUCAUUACUGACACUGAGGAACGAAAGCAUGGGUAGCGAAGAGGAUUAGAUACCCUCGUAGUCCAUGCCGUAAACGAUGUGUGUUAGACGUUGGAAAUUUAUUUUCAGUGUCGCAGCGAAAGCGAUAAACACACCGCCUGGGGAGUACG